GUUUCCGUGGUGUAGCAGUUAUCACAUCCGCCCUUACACGCGGAAGGCCCCCGGUUCGAUCCCGGGCGGAAACA
rnacentral:tRNA from 1 species